UUUGCAUCUUGUAUGUGGUUGGGAAUACAUUCUCAAAUCUAUUUGUGGGCCCAAUAAGCCAUGUGACCAUGGCAAGUUUCCUCAUGGCUCUGUAUGUCAAUGUACUCAUCUGUGAGCUAGAGGCAGGGGUACCAGAUGGUCUUUCAACUCCCUUUGACUCUACACAUACAUUUCCAUCUACAAACUAAGUCUGAAUUCCUUUAGAAAAGGUGUCAAGAGAUUUGUGCCUGGCCAAGACCUUGGAGGAUGAUGGUGUUGCACUUCGUCUAGUUAUUCAGGCUCAACUCAGAGAAGGAGAAGCUGCAAGAAAGCUCUGCUUUCCCCUGCAUCUUGGGGCAGCCCUGUUUGCCUCACAGACAGAGAAGAACCGAGCCCUAUAUGAUAUUUUCACCUAAUACGAAGCUGAACUUUGACUCUAUUUCACUGAAAAGUGUUUCAGUGUUUUCUCGUCAGUUUCUGAACUGUGUGACCGUCAUCCUGCAUGGACCCUCAUAUUCCAGCUUCCUGUUUCCUCCCUCCUGCGUCUCCAUCCCCAGCUCCCAGUAGCAGGAAGCAUUCACCACAUUUUCACUUCUUGUUCUUUUCCU
rnacentral:lncRNA from 1 species